rnacentral:rRNA from 1 species
CGCGUAGGCGGGGAGGUAAGUCGGGUGUGAAAUCCCUCGGCCCAACCGAGGAACUGCGCUCGAGACUGCUUCUCUUGAGUCCCGGAGAGGAAGAUGGAAUUCCCGGUGUAGCGGUGAAAUGUGUAGAGAUCGGGAGGAACACCGGUGGCGAAGGCGGUCUUCUGGACGGUGACUGACGCUGAGGCGCGAAAGCGUGGGGAAGCAAACG